AUGCAAAACGGUCCUUUGGACCCCCGAGAACGUGAGGUUAAAAAAAAAAAAAAAAAAAUCCAGCUCGGGGACGCCGUCCUUUUCCUGUCUGUCUGCCAGGUGAGAAAGCAGGCGGGGCUGGCGCGGGAACGGGGCGGCGGCCCGGCCGGCGCGCACCACGCGGUCGCUCUCCCCGGCUCACCCGGGGCUGGAGCGCUCGGGCCGCCGGCGCCGCCGACCGCGUGCCAGCGCUUUGUGCACGUGCGUGGGUUGGCUCGCCCGGUGCGGGGCUCAGAGCGCGCCCCGAAAAGUCUGCGGGGCUGUCUCUCGCCCACCCAGGAUUUCUGUGAUAUUUCAAGAAAUGGAAUAGAAUCAAUGUUCCGAAGAACAUUUAACAAUUUUGUAAGUAAAAGGUGCCAAAGAAGAGCUGCAAACUGUGAAGUAACUUCUAUGAAGAGAUGAAGUGAAGAAUGGAAGGCAAAUGACUGUAUGUGUAUGUGGUGAGUGCUUAACAUUUGUUAUUAUCAUCCAUCACAAAGUUAAUUCAUAAAGGUGAAACUGCCAAACUCUUUUGUCAUUAGGUACUUAUAUUGUAAACAUGUAUAAAAGUGAUGAGUGUUACAUAACCAUUAUGUGAUCUGUUAUAUAGCAAUACCAUAGCAUUUUGCUUAAAGCUCACAUGUCACCUUUCAGGGCAUACCUUUACAAGUCUGUUUUACAAUGAAUCCAUUUCAGGGAGGUUAUGUAUGUCAUAUCUACUGUUAACUAUGGAAAAGAUAUAACAUUUUUUAUAUGCUUGGAAUUUCUAUCCUACUACUUUUUAUAUCUGAACUUCUGUGUUAAUCAUGUUUGUGUUGAAAGUAUUCUGGCUGGAGAACAGAUACUACACAGUUGAAUAAUAUUGAGGGGUAGAUUAAUCUAUAGACUUUCUUCAUUUUAGGGUGGGUUGCUGUGGCAACCACCCAGCUUACUUUAAGAUAAUUUUUUAAAGCUCAUUUCAAG
rnacentral:lncRNA from 1 species